UCCCAGACUCCUACGGGAGGCAGCAGUGGGGGAUAUUGCACAAUGGGGGGAACCCUGAUGCAGCGACGCCGCGUGGGUGAAGGAGUAUUUCGGUAUGUAAAGCUCUAUCAGCAGGGGAGAAGAUGACGGUACCUGACCAAGAAGCUCCGGCUAAAUACGUGCCAGCAGCCGCGGUAAUACGUAUGGAGCAAGCGUUAUCCGGAUUUACUGGGUGUAAAGGGAGCGCAGGCGGCCUUGCAAGUCUGAUGUGAAAGGCCGGGGCCCAACCCCGGGACUGCAUUGGAAACUGCGAGGCUGGAGUGUCGGAGAGGCAGGCGGAAUUCCUAGUGUAGCGGUGAAAUGCGUAGAUAUUAGGAGGAACACCAGUGGCGAAGGCGGCCUGCUGGACGAUGACUGACGCUGAGGCUCGAAAGCGUGGGGAGCAAACAGGAUUAGAUACCCGGGUAGCA
rnacentral:rRNA from 1 species